CACAUACUCCCUCCGUUCGGAAAUAUUUGUUCAAGAAAUGGAUGUAUCCAGAUGUAUUUUAGUUUUAGAUAUAUCCAUUUUUAUCCACUUCCGCGACAAGUAAUUGUGGACGAAAGGAGUAUUUG
rnacentral:pre_miRNA from 1 species